rnacentral:rRNA from 1 species
UUCGCAAUGCCCGAAAGGGUGACGAAGCGACGCCGCGUGGGUGAGGAAGGCCUUCGGGUUGUAAAGCCCUGUCAGGAGUUAAGAAAUGUAGACUCGCUAAUAUCGGGUCUAUUUGACAAAGGCUCCAAAGGAAGCCACGGCUAGCUCUGUGCCAGCAGCCGCGGUAAUACAGAGGUGGCAAGCGUUGUUCGGAAUUAUUGGGCGUAAAGAGCACGUAGGUGGAUUUGUAAGUCAGACGUGAAAGCCUUCUGUUCAACGGAAGAAUUGCAUCUGAAACUACAAACCUUGAGUGUAGGAGGGGAGAAUGGAACUUCUGGUGGAGCGGUGAAAUGCGUAGAUAUCAGAAGGAACGCCGGCGGCGAAAGCGAUUCUCUGGCCUAUUACUGACACUCAGUGUGCGAAAGCUAGGGGAGCAAACGGGAUUAGAUACCCCGGUAGUCCUAGCCGUAAACGAUGGGCACUAAGUAGAGGGGUUUU